rnacentral:sRNA from 1 species
GUGGGUACAUUUGUCAUUUCAUAUUUUCUUUUCAUCAUUUGGCUAUUAUUUUUUUUUUUGUGUCCACACGGAUAGACACAAAAAAAUAAAAAAAAAUAAAAUUAAUAGCCAAAUGAUGAAAAGAAAAUAUGAAAUGACAAAUGUACCCAC